UACGUAGGGGGCUAGCGUUGUCCGGAAUCAUUGGGCGUAAAGAGCGUGUAGGCGGUCCGGUAAGUCCGUUGUGAAAGUCAGGGGCUCAACCCUUGAAUGCCGGCGGAUACUGUCGGGCUAGAGUCCGGAAGAGGCAAGUGGAAUUCCCGGUGUAGCGGUGAAAUGCGCAGAUAUCAGGAGGAACACCAAUGGCGAAGGCAGCUCGCUGGGACGGUACUGACGCUGAGGCGCGAAAGCGUGGGGAGCAAACAGG
rnacentral:rRNA from 1 species